rnacentral:tRNA from 10 species
UGGGGGAUCGUCUAAUGGUAGGACAGCGGACUCUGACUCCGCCAGUCUAGGUUCGAAUCCUAGUCCCCCAGCCA